AAAAAGGAAAAAAAUUCAUUUUGAAAAAUGCUAGAACUUCAAUAAAUUAUAUUGCUUUGGCCAGAACCAAACCCAAGCGAAUCGUAAAAAAAUGGAGGUGACCUCAACGUGAGGAGUGGGGCGUGUGGGGGUCCGAGUGCUUCAUCCAAGCUGUAGCUCGACUUGCUGGCACCUUCACUAUCUCAUGGCAACAAUACAAAGGAGACGAAGAAGAGAAAUAACAGAGCAAAAUUCGCAUGGCGGACAGGUGAAUCGGGUCAGAGACGGCAGCAGCAACAGCAGCAGCACCUAACGGGUAUGCGGAGAAAAAAGCUUUGCUGUCAAGUGAGCGUGCAGAAAAGGAAGAAGAAGGAAUUGUGCUGCCUGAAGUGAAAAUGUGGGUGGGGUGUGAAGGCAUGGAGCAGGGGAGGGGGAUCAGUGCGAUGCAAGAAAAAUGGAAUGGUUUCAUUCUAUUCUAUUCCAUUCGGCGGUUAUAUAGAAUGUUGAAAAAAUGAGAUGAAGGAGAAAUAAGAGAGAAGAAGAGAAAGGUGGAAAGGGAUGAGAAAGGGAAUAGAAGGUGCAUUAACAAUUGUCAUAAUUACAAUA
rnacentral:sRNA from 1 species